rnacentral:rRNA from 1 species
GACGAACGCUGGCGGCGUGCUUAACACAUGCAAGUCGAACGGAAAGGCCCUGCUUUUGUGGGGUGCUCGAGUGGCGAACGGGUGAGUAACACGUGAGUAACCUGCCCUUGACUUUGGGAUAACUUCAGGAAACUGGGGCUAAUACCGGAUAGGAGCUCCUGCUGCAUGGUGGGGGUUGGAAAGUUUCGGCGGUUGGGGAUGGACUCGCGGCUUAUCAGCUUGUUGGUGGGGUAGUGGCUUACCAAGGCUUUGACGGGUAGCCGGCCUGAGAGGGUGACCGGCCUCAAUGGUACUGAGGUAGGGCCCAGACGCGAACGUGAGGCAGUAGUGGGAAACAUUGCACAACGAGCGCAAGCCAGAGACGACAGCGCUGCGAUCGGGAUGCCGGCUUACUGGUGAUAAACCGAUGUCGACUGAGACGUAGCGGUCUUGACGGUAACUGGUAAAGAAGCACCGGCUAACUACGUG